CCUACGGGGGGCUGCAGUGGGGAAUAUUGCACAAUGGAGGGAACUCUGAUGCAGCGACGCCGCGUGAGCGAUGAAGGCUUUCGAGUCGUAAAGCUCUGUCGAAUGGGAAGAUAAUGACGGUACCAUUUGAGAAAGCCCCGGCUAACUACGUGCCAGCAGCCGCGGUAAUACGUAGGGGGCGAGCGUUGUCCGGAAUUAUUGGGCGUAAAGGGUUCGUAGGCGGCAAUGUAUGUCAGGUGUGAAAGACGGUGGCUCAACCAACGCAAGCAUCUGAAACUGCAUAGCUUGAGAAAAGGAGAGGUAAGUGGAAUUCCUAGUGUAGCGGUGAAAUGCGUAGAUAUUAGGAGGAAUACCAGUGGCGAAGGCGACUUACUGGACUUUAACUGACGCUGAUGAACGAAAGCGUGGGGAGCAAACAGGAUUAGAUACCCCUGUAGUC
rnacentral:rRNA from 2 species